rnacentral:rRNA from 1 species
CCUUUUCCUUUGUUGCCAACGGUUCGGCCGGGAACUCAAAGGAGACUGCCAGUGAUAAACUGGAGGAAGGUGGGGAUGACGUCAAGUCAUCAUGGCCCUUACGAGUAGGGCUACACACGUGCUACAAUGGCAUAUACAAAGAGAAGCGACCUCGCGAGAGCAAGCGGACCUCAUAAAGUAUGUCGUAGUCCGGAUUGGAGUCUGCAACUCGACUCCAUGAAGUCGGAAUCGCUAGUAAUCGUGGAUCAGAAUGCCACGGUGAAUACGUUCCCGGGCCUUGUACACACCGCCCGUCACACCAUGGGAGUGGGUUGCAAAAGAAGUAGGUAGCUUAACCUUCGGGAGGGCGCUUACCACUUUGU